CGGCGCCGUUUCUACUGCUCAUCACCUUCUUCAGGAGACCGAUUCAACAAGAAGAAAUGGCACCAAAAUUGAACCACGUCUCCUUCCCACAAUCUCGUUUCCAAAUCCGUCAACAGUCCUGCAUGAGUAGGAUUGUUAACGGCUUCAUUUACAGGAAGAAAUGGCAUCAAACCCGGACAACGUUUCUUAUCCAUGAUUUCGUUUCCAGAUCGAUUAACAGUCCUGCAUAAGCAGGACUGUUAAGGACUUUAUUUACUCUCUGUGGCCUUAUAAAAGGCCAGAGAAAGACGAACAGAAGGGAACAAAAAAAAAAGGAGGAAGGAACGAACAAACAAAAAAGCAAAACACAAAAGAAAAUAGAGAGGAAACCAGAGGAACAAGCAAACACAGACAUAAAAAAAAGAGAAGAACGAAUAACACAGAGACGAGACGAAGAACAGGAGACAGACAAAAAACACAGAGAGCAGGGGAAGAAGAUGCAAACAGAGGAAGAAUAAAAUAAAGCAAAAAAAAGAGACCAGAAAUCAAAGAAGAAGGGAAGGAAAAACAGAAGCAGAGGGAAACAUUGGUUAACCAGCCCUCACCGUCAUCUUUGUCUUCAGGCAGCAGCUCCAGGUCCUCGUGAUGGGUUUUCUGAUUGAUAAUUUGGCAGUUAAUUUCAUCGAUUGACAAAGUUAUACAGGUUAGAAAAAUGGGGUUCGAGUUUCAAAAUCUCUGAAGGGACACAAUAUCAGGUGCAGGGACCCUAGAGUAUAAUCACACAUGAACUAUCAAUAUUGGCUACAAGAGGCCACCUUCGCAGGCAGGUUUCAAGGAUCAUGCAACUGGUUGAGCAAGAGGAUUACUUGUAGACCGAUUCUUAAUGGUCAAUCAAAGCAGUCGAUUGGUUACCAUUUUGAAAAACAGAAAACAUCUAUGCGUAAACAAUAAUUUUUUAAUAUUUUAAUUGAAGUUUGUUUUUGAAUUCAAAAUUUGAACAAAAAUAUAUAUUUUAUGAAUAUACAUUAACAAUAAUUUUUUGAUAUUUUAAUUGAAGUUUAUUUUUGAAUUAAAAAAUUAGAUAAAAAUAUAUAUUUUGAUUCAUAAAAUAUAUUUGAAAGAAAAAAUUCAUAAAAUUAUAAUUUUUGCGUGAAACGAUUGACCGGUUCAUGCAACUGGAUCAACCGGCCGACCAGUUGAGCAAAAAAAUUGACAAUGAGACUACAUUUUAAGUUGUCGUAUUUCAGAAGCUCAACAUAUUUAAAUGUCACUAUUUUGAAAUGCAAUAAUUAUCCUGUCGUGCUUAAUAAUAGCAAUAUUUAGUAGAUAUAGCGUUUUAGAAGCGCAAUGUGUUAUUUCACUAAUUUUUUUUUAAAUAAUGUUAUCUGCAAAAACUUUUAACUUAUUUUGCUAGUUUUCUUAACAAAAUCAGAUUUCUUUCAUUUUACAAAAUCGGAUAGAAAUGAACACCCACAAAUCAAAGACUAAAGACAAGCAAGCUAUGUAUAUCAUGUGACCAUGUCAACAAUCAAGGUUAUGGUUGCCACUACAACAUGGGAUGGCGCAACCAUCAAAAAGGUCAAUUUUAUGUGCUUUUAUUUAAUUUUUCAAGUCAGGGUCAAGUCUAGCUUUAAAACCUUGGGGUACAUUUCAGUAUUUAAAAUUUUCUGCAAAUUUUAUAGGUUUAGGCUUAUUUUAGCAGUAAUAAAAUAUUAAUCUUUUUUGUUUAGGACUUUACUAUUCUAAAUACAUAUAAAAGUAAUUUUUUAUUUUGAAAUUUUUAGGUGGUGGUCCAGUGGUAAGAGUUUGGGACCAAGAGAUUUGCUCCCUCUGGGUCUCAGGUUCGAGCCUUGUGGUUGCUUAUAUGAUGGCCACUGGAGGCUUACAUGGUCGUUAACUUCAGGACCCGUGGGAUUAGUCGAGGUGCGCGCAAGCUGGCUCGGACACCCACGUUAAACUAAAAAAAACAAAAAGACAAGCAAGCUGAAAUGAGUAGCAUGGAGAGAAACACAGCAGAUAAAUAAGAAUUCCCAGCACACGAAAAGAACAGCAGUAAGGUGAUAAUCAGUCCACAGAACAAGGAAAGGAAAAAAUGGGAGUUGGAUAGUCGAAUUUUGGGGACCAGCCCCGUCACUGUCCCCGAUCACACUGCAUGAACAAGAAAAAUUGGAGGCAACUGAACAGCGGACAAGAUGUUGCUUCGAGUAAUUAUGAUCAACCUAGCUCUCUACUAAAAUAAGCAAGAGUUAUAUCAAAAUGUGCCCUUACAAAAAUCAAUUCUGAAUCUAAGAGAUAUAUGCGGAUAAGAGUGCUGGGAUUACCAUCGUUCCGGAACAAACCAAAUCUUUGUGGCACAAUUAAAAAUGUCACAAAUUUUUUGUUCAUCUUAUCAGUUUAUUACACGAUCAGAAUUAUCAAAAUUACUUAAA